rnacentral:lncRNA from 1 species
GAAGAUCCAAGAGAGAGAAGAAGCCAUCUAGCUACCAACUACGGACCCGUAGGUCUGAAGUGAACUACUCACGAGUCAUUGGAGGGGCGAUGAUGAUGAUGAAGAAGCCCUCCAACUCCAAAGUCCCCUCCAGCAGGGUGCCGGGAAGGGUCUCUAGAUGAGAUCUCGCGGAAACGGAAGCUUGCGGCGGCGGAAAAGUAUUUUCGAGGCUCCCCUGAUUUUUUGCGGAAUAUUUGGGAAUUUAUAGGCCAAAGACCU